rnacentral:rRNA from 1 species
GAUGAACGCUGGCGGCGUGCCUAAUACAUGCAAGUCGAGCGAAGCGGGCACGGGUGAGUAACACGUGGAUAACCUCCUUUAAGACUGGGAUAACUUAGGGGAACCGGAGGUAACACGGCUAAUCAUAGAUGGCUGCGCGUUGCAUUAGCUGGUUGGUAAGGUAACGGCUUACCAAGGCAACGAUGCAUAGCCGACCUGAGAGGGUGAUCGGCCACACUGGAACUGAGACACGGUCCAGACUCCUACGGGAGGCAGCAGUAGGGAAUCUUCCGCAAUGGGCGAAAGCCUGACGGAGCAACGCCGCGUGAGUGAUGAAGGUCUUCGGAUCGUAAAACUCUGUUAUUAGGGAAGCGGUACCUAAACAGAAAGCCACGGCUAACUACGUGCCAGCAGCCGCGGUAAUUC